UGCAGUCAAUGAUGCAAUUUUUCCCAAAAUUAUGAUCUAUCUGUGAUUAAUAUCCAAAUUAUCACCAUCUUUCGACUGAGAUUGCA